AACACUCUUAGCACCCAACAAGCAGGUAUGUGCUUACCAGCAAACUAAAGCAAAUGGAAAUUACGAAGCAUGAUCGCCACCAGCGAGGUGCUGCUGAACUAUAAGGCUUCAGAUGGUCAGAUAAAGUACCUGAUGCUGAAAAACAGGAAAUUGAAUCAUGUCUCCAAAAUGUGCCUUUUGUCAUGCACUGUUACAGCUCUAUUUCUUGCUCUUUAGGCCUUAAUGAUUGACAUGAUCUUGGAGAUCAGUUAGGUAUGUAGCAAAACUCUCCUAGAAACCUGGAAGAUGUAGCAAGAAGAAAACAUGGAGCCUUUUCUGAACAAGCCUAUGAGAGAAGAAGAAUCACUUCAAUUUAUAAGUGUGGAUCCUGGGGCUAAAGAACUUACCUAACACCACACAACCAGCAGCAAAUUACUGACCCAGCAUAUUCUGAACCAGGUCUUUAUUCUUUCGAGGACUUCACAGUGCCUUCCUCAGAGCAUCUCUACAUGAAAAUCUGUAUAAAGAAGUGAUCUGUGGUGUCGCCAUUUGUAUCAAAAUGGUAUCACCAACUUAUUUAAAAGACUUUAUCUAAAAGUCUUCAGAUAGUUUUGGCCAGGGAAGAGCUCUAAUAUCACACAUUAAUAGCCCUACCUUUGUAACAUGUAAAUUGUUUUUUGUUUUAACAUCUCAGUUUCAUUAAACUGAGACCAGAAAGAGCCAUCAUCUUUUUACCAAUUUGUAAUCAUUUCAUUGUGUUAUGGACGUGCAGCAAUGUUGACUAUAUUUACAAAUCUGUGAGUGAAAUUUUAAAACCAUUUUCCUCUUCUAAUCUCUCCCAUCCUGCCUUCUUAGAAGCACACAAAGCAUCUCAACCACUCCCAAAUUCCCUGUUGGAAUACCCUUAAUGAUUCUGAAAUAUUUUGCUAUUCCCCAAACACCGCCCUAAAGACGAAUCACUGGACUCCAGGCUCUUCACAUUGCCAAGUUGAAUAGAGUUCAAAUGUUCUAUCUAACCAAACUCUAACUUACAACAAAGCCACAUAUAGUAGAUGAUGUGUAAGAUAUUCCGAAAAUACCAAGGCAACAGGGAAAAAAAUCUGUGUCAUCAAGAGGUCCUCCCAGAAUGUCUUGUAAUCUAGAAUAAUCAUUUUUAUCAAGCUCCUGUAACCUAAUCAUAGCACACAUGUGUAUAUAUGUAUGACUAAUAACAUAAAUCAACUUUCAUUUUAAUAAUGUAUA